CAAAGGAAGUUGACGGGGCCCGGCACAAGCGGUGGAGUAUGUGGUUUAAUUCGAUGCAACGCGAAGAACCUUACCUGGUCUUGACAUCCCGGAGACCCUUAGGAAACUAGGGGGUGCUUCCAUCUGGAAGAAUCUGGAGACAGGUGCUGCAUGGCUGUCGUCAGCUCGUGUCGUGAGAUGUUGGGUUAAGUCCCGCAACGAGCGCAACCCUUGCCUUUAGUUGCCAGCAGUUCGGCUGGGCACUCUAAAGGGACUGCCGGUGUUAAACCGGAGGAAGGUGGGGAUGACGUCAAGUCCUCAUGGCCUUUAUGACCAGGGCUACACACGUACUACAAUGGCCGAUACAAAGGGCAGCGACACUGCGAGGUGAAGCCAAUCCCGUAAAAUCGGUCUCAGUCCGGAUUGGAGUCUGCAACUCGACUCCAUGAAGUUGGAAUCGCUAGUAAUCGUGGAUCAGCAUGCCACGGUGAAUACGUUCCCGGGCCUU
rnacentral:rRNA from 1 species